AUACACAUAUGUUUUUUUAAUUACAUCUUAAUUCAUUCCAAUUUUACAUAAUUUCUAUAUAUUCUUUGCAUAAGAAACAUUGAAUAUAUUUGUUAGUAAUAUUAAUUAGUAAAUUAUGAUUCUAAUAAUCACAUUUAUUGGUAAAUAUAACAUGUAAACUUUUUAACAGCAUCAAAUAUAUACUAUUUAAGUACAUGUACGUUUUUAUGUUUGUGUUUGCUUCUUCUAAAUAGAGUUUUUAAAAAACGUUUUUAAUGUUUCUCUAAAAAAAUGUAAUAUUUUAUUACUUACAAUAAGUAAUUUCAUAACAUAGAUAAUAAGAUUACUAUACAUCUCUAAAAAAUCGGAAUUGUAAACUAAUAUUUAGAGAUAAUUAUUUGUUAUUACAAUGCUGAUCUUGCAACUUGAUAGUAAAAAUAUUUAAAAACUAAAUUUGAUAUUUUUUCAUUCAUUCAUUUUUAUGCGUCUUAUGUUUUUAAAUAUAAAAAAUAUUUAGGAAAAUAUACUAAAAUAUUCACAAAAAAUAAAAUAUAACAAGUCAGGUUUUGUUUA
rnacentral:lncRNA from 1 species